GCAGUCGCCCAGAGGGGACCGCGCCGCGGGCCUUCCAGCACGGUCCCCGCGCCUCGCCUAACGGUGUGGUUUCCCCCGCCCUUGCACCCCGCAGCAGUACAGCCGCCUCAAUUCCUCCAGCCAGACCAACAGCCUCAAGGAUCUGCUGCAGAGCAAGAUCGAUGAGCUGGAGAGGCAGGUGCUGUCCCGGGUGAACACCCUGGAGGAGGGCAAGGGGGGCCCCAGGAACGACACCGAGGAGAGGGUCAAGAUCGAGACCGCCCUGACCUCCCUGCACCAGCGGAUCAGCGAGCUCGAGAAAGGUCAGAAAGACAACCGCCCUGGAGACAAGUUCCAGCUCACGUUCCCACUGCGGACCAACUAUAUGUAUGCCAAGGUGAAGAAGAGCCUGCCGGAGAUGUACGCCUUCACUGUCUGCAUGUGGCUCAAGUCCAGCGCCGCGCCAGGGGUGGGCACGCCCUUCUCCUAUGCUGUGCCCGGCCAGGCCAACGAGCUGGUCCUCAUUGAGUGGGGCAACAACCCCAUGGAGAUCCUCAUCAAUGACAAGGUGGCCAAA
rnacentral:sRNA from 1 species